rnacentral:rRNA from 1 species
UCUAGGGCCCAUACCUCUCUGAGUACACCCAAUUCCCUCUGAACUCAGAACCUACUCAGGGUCUGGCCUGUUUAUAUAGGGGACAACCAGAGCAUAUCUGGGUGUUGCUGCCC